rnacentral:lncRNA from 12 species
UCUAGCCACGGAGGAGAGGCAAGCAGGUGCGUGGCAGGAGGCCACGGACAGGAGGGGGCCGAGGGCGGGUCUGUGGGAUGGCGGCCGGGGCUCACAGGCCGUUGCCGGGGCUCCAGACCUCACAACAGAGCAUCUGAGGACCGUGAACCUGCAGACGGCAGCGAGGGUCUGAGCACGAAUUUACCAAGAAGCACGGGGAAUGCCAAAUGGAAAAAAAAAUGCAAGAGGAUAGGAAGAUUUUCACAGGGAAACGAAAGCCACCCAGCCCCGGACAGCAUCCACACGGUCAGGAAGCACAAAGGACGGCGCGGGCGGCCCUCCUACCUUGUCGUCAUCCUCACACGUCAUGUCGUUGGAGAACAGGAUCUCCGCCUUGAACAUCUUCCGGCACUGCAUGAGCUGAACCAGCAGGUAGCACACGGUCUUGAAUUUCAUCCUCUUGGCUGCCCUGAUGUCGGACAGGAUAAGCCCUGGGAGUAUCUGUGCAGAGAGGUGGUCCGGGGACGGCCCGUGAGCAGCCCCGAGCUGCCCCCGGGCCGGGCACGACCUCACGGGGACACAGACGCCAAACAGGCGAGCGGGACCGGCGGGCCGGCUCCACGGCACACGGCUCUCGGCUCCUCCCGGGGCCUCUGGACCCAGAGCGAGGCCCCGGAGCGGGGCCUGCAACAGUGGGGGGCUUGGGGCCCAGCCAGGGAGGGACCCGGAGGCCUGGACGUCGCUGGCUGGCGAGGCGGCAGCCGGCCGAGGACCAGCGCCAGAGACCCCCGGGGUCCUGCCCCGCAGGCCCCACCUGCCUGGGUGACUGCUGCUGUGCUGGGGUCCUGGGCGACUCCUCGCCCGGCCCUCCUCCAGGCCCGCGAGGGCUGCCCCUGCUUCAGGAGUGAGCUCAGGGAGCCCCUCGGCCGUGGGCCCCAGGUCACAGGGCCUGCACAGCCCCAAACCACGGACACGCAGGACGGAGAAGCUUCAAGCUCUGUCUCGCAGCCGACCUGCUUAUGUCCUGAAGGAGCACCAGGGCCGCUGGUGCCCCACAACCCCCACCUGUGCCCCCAGACCCUGCCUGUGCCCCAUGGCCCCACCUUCUGUGCCCCCGGCCCCUCACCUGUGCCCCCCACUACUCUCCUGUACCCCCAUCCCUCGCCUGCGACCCCGCCCCUCAUUGUGCCCCGCGACCCCUGCCUGUGCGCUGAGACCCCGUCCUGUGCCCAAGGACCCCACUUGUGCCCCGUGGCCUCCCCUUCUGUGCCCCCACUUCUGUGCCCCUCGCCCCCCUCCUGUGACCCACAUCACCCGCCUGUGUCCCCCGACCCCAAACUGUGUCCCGCACCUCCUGCCUGUGCCCCCAGCCCCUCGCCUGUGCCCCCCGCCUGUGCCCCGCGAACCCCGCCCGUGCCCUGCAUCCACCACCCGUGCCCCCUGCCCCUCACCUGUAACCCGCAUCCCUCACAUAUGUCCCAUGGCCCCCCCUUCUGUGCCCCCUGCCCUUCGCCUGUGUCCCCCACCCCUUGCCUGUGCCCCAUGCCUCCUGCCUGUGCCUUGCGAACCCCACCUGUGCCCCGCGAACCCCACCUGUGGCCUGCGCUCCCCGUCUGUGCCCUGAGACCUUCCUCUGUGCGCUGA